CUUUACCAUGCAGUCGAACGGCAGCGUGGGGCAACCUGGCGGCGAGUGGCGAACGGGUGAGUAAUAUAUCGGAACGUGCCCUGGAGUGGGGGAUAACGCAGCGAAAGUUGCGCUAAUACCGCAUACGAUCUAAGGAUGAAAGCAGGGGACCGCAAGGCCUUGUGCUCCUGGAGCGGCCGAUAUCUGAUUAGCUAGUUGGUGGGGUAAAGGCCUACCAAGGCAUCGAUCAGUAGCUGGUCUGAGAGGACGACCAGCCACACUGGAACUGAGACACGGUCCAGACUCCUACGGGAGGCAGCAGUGGGGAAUUUUGGACAAUGGGCGAAAGCCUGAUCCAGCAAUGCCGCGUGAGUGAAGAAGGCCUUCGGGUUGUAAAGCUCUUUUGUCAGGGAAGAAACGGUGCGGGCUAAUAUCCUGCACUAAUGACGGUACCUGAAGAAUAAGCACCGGCUAACUACGUGCCAGCAGCCGCGGUAAUACGUAGGGUGCAAGCGUUAAUCGGAAUUACUGGGCGUAAAGCGUGCGCAGGCGGUUUUGUAAGUCUGUCGUGAAAUCCCCGGGCUCAACCUGGGAAUUGCGAUGGAGACUGCAAGGCUAGAAUCUGGCA
rnacentral:rRNA from 1 species